AUAAAGACGUAGAAAGAUGAAAGUAAGGGCUUAAUAAACUAUUGUAGAGAGCUGACGGUGGCUGCGAGUCAGUAUAGAUUUAAGCGCUGAAUUACACAUCUGGAGUUUCUUCUAAUAUUUUUUUAGAAGACGGUGAGGACUGCGCCGUUAUGUUCCUUUGAGUGGCAAUGUAUCUUGAAUGAUAUCGUUGCAACAAGGGUGGUACCGCGAGAUAACUCGUCCCUUUU
rnacentral:ncRNA from 1 species